UACGUAGGGAGCAAGCGUUGUCCGGAAUCAUUGGGCGUAAAGCGCGCGUAGGUGGCCUCAUAAGUCCGCUGUGAAAGUCAAAGGCUCAACCUUUGAAAGCCGGUGGAUACUGUGAGGCUAGAGUACGGAAGAGGCGAGUGGAAUUCCUGGUGUAGCGGUGGAAUGCGCAGAUAUCAGGAGGAACACCAAUAGCGAAGGCAGCUCGCUGGGACGUUACUGACACUGAGACUCGAAAGCAUGGGGAGCAAACAGG
rnacentral:rRNA from 1 species